GCCCGGGUGGUGGAAUUGGUAGACACACAGGACUUAAAAUCCUGGGGUUGGAAACGACCGUACGAGUUCGAUUCUCGUCCUGGGCA
rnacentral:tRNA from 1 species